AUGUGUUGAGAAGCUGGAAUGUACUGAAGAAGAUUACGAAGAAGAGCUUGAGUGUAUUGAGAAGGUCUUUUCUCCAUGGGUUGAGAAGUGCAAGCAGUUUUGUUACAUCUUGUUUCUUUGAUUUGUAUUGAGUAACAGUCCCUGAAAGCAUUAAUAUGGAGGACGUUUGCACAUGGUGGCACUUCAAACUGUAUGCAUGUUCAAUUCGCUCCUUCACUAUUAUUAUCAAGUACAGUAUACUGGAGCAUAUCAACUUCUUAAAUUUAUGUUGCAGCCUAGAAUAUAUCAACAUCAAAAAUAUAUCAGCCAGUUUCUGUACGGGAGAGAUAGGUGGUUCUGGAGGU